rnacentral:rRNA from 1 species
AUUGAACGCUGGCGGCAGGCCUAACACAUGCAAGUCGAACGGUAACAGGGAUCCUCUUGCUGAUUCGCUGGCGAGUGGCGGACGGGUGAGUAAUGUCUGGGAAACUGCCUGAUGGAGGGGGAUAACUACUGGAAACGGUAGCUAAUACCGCAUAACGUCGCAAGCCCAAAGAGGGGGACCUUCGGGCCUCUUGCCAUCGGAUGUGCCCAGAUGGGAGUAGCUAGUAGGUGGGGUAACGGCUCACCUAGGCGACGAUCCCUAGCUGGUCUGGGAGGAUGACCAGCCAGACUGGAACAGAGACACGGUCCAGACUGCGACGGGAGGCAGCAGUGGGGAAUAUGGAACAAUGGGCGAAAGCCUGAUGCAGCCAUGCCGCGUAUGAAGAAGGCCUUCGGGUGGUAAAGUACUUUCAGCGGGGAGGAAGGGAGUAAAGUUAAUACCUUUGCUCAUUGACGUUACCCGCAGAAGAAGCACCGGCUAACUCCGG